AGUGAACGCUGGCGGUAGGCCUAACACAUGCAAGUCGAACGGCAGCACAGUAAGAGCUUGCUCUUACGGGUGGCGAGUGGCGGACGGGUGAGGAAUACAUCGGAAUCUACUUUUUCGUGGGGGAUAACGUAGGGAAACUUACGCUAAUACCGCAUACGACCUACGGGUGAAAGCAGGGGAUCUUCGGACCUUGCGCGAUUGAAUGAGCCGAUGUCGGAUUAGCUAGUUGGCGGGGUAAAGGCCCACCAAGGCGACGAUCCGUAGCUGGUCUGAGAGGAUGAUCAGCGACACGAGAACUGAGACACGGUCCAGACUCCUACGGGAGGCAGCAGUGGGGAAUAUUGGACAAUGGGGGCAAGCCUGAUCCAGCCAUACCGAGUGGGUGAAGAAGGCCUUCGGGUUGUAAAGCCCUUUUGUUGGGAAAGAAAAGCAGCAGGUUAAUACCACGCUGUUCUGACGGUACCCAAAGAAUAAGCACCGGCUAACUUCGUG
rnacentral:rRNA from 1 species